CUUUAGAGAUGUCAGGGAGGAUGGGCUGUGGAAAAUAAUGAGUCUACUGGAGCAAGAUGGACAUUUCAUGGCAGCUUUCUUAAGAGCAUAUAAGAACCUACUAUAUUGCCUGGCAUAUUUCUGCCCUCAAGGCAUUCUUAUGGACGUAAGCUUUAUCUUCCCAACAACAACCCUGUCAGCGGAAUUCUUCUAGAUUAAAUGUGGGCCUGCUGUGACUUCACCUCCAGCCCUGUUUGGGACUCCACCAUCAAAGCAUCUCUGAACAGCUUGCUUUCUGCAAUAGUUGAAGAACGAGUAGCGUGUGGAUGGCUGAGAGUCAUCCCAGGACACAGGUGUGCAUCCCCCCCAGCCAGCCGACAGAGAAGAUGAAUCAGCUUCCCUGAAAGACGUGCCCCAGAGCAGUCUGUCAGCUGAAACUUGUCUGAAGGAGCACGCUUCCCUCCUGACCACAGCUAAUGAAAAUGUGUGGCUUGCCCGGGGAAGAAUCUAUGCUAUUCUUUAAAGGAACAAUGCGAACCACAGAUGUGCAGCAUCUGGCAUACGAUAGGGAUUUCCCUGAAUGAGAACGGUAACUGGACCAGCCAGCUUAUGAGAUGCCUUUGGGUCCAGGCAUGUAUUUUCCUCCUUUUGCCUCUGGAUUUGGGUUCUCAGAAGUUCAGGUGAAGCCCAAGUCACUAUCACUUAGUGUUUUUCAUUAUAUGUGCGCCCCUCCCCGUUUAUCUUCUAUGGUCUUGAUGAAUAUGCUUGAGAUGCCCCCAAACCUAUAACCCUGCCUCUAAGUCUUUGCUCAUGUCAUUCUCCAUUUCUGUACAGCCUCCCCUUCUUUAUGACCAUCUAAUUUGUCAGGACUCUUUCCAUGGAGGUUAAG